CCCUUUGGGGCCUGGCACUUCUCUAUCUCCCUCACCACUUCUUCUUCCACCUCCGGCCGCUGCCGCGGCCAGGACGGCAUGGCGGCGCGCCACCCAGUACCUCCACCCGCUCCACAACGCCGCCGCACCGCGCCACCCAGUACCUCCACCCGCUCCACAACGCCGCCGCACCUCCACCCGCGCUACCACAACCCAUCCAUCCACCGGCGCCAUCACAUCCAGCCACCAUCACCUCGCGCGCCCUACCAGACUAGAGGUUCUGGUUGUAUGGUGCCCUGCGCGAGUCUGUCCUCCCUCUCUCUUGUUGCCGCUCCUCCCUCUUGCUUCGUCCCGCUGCUCUUCUUCUUCCCCUCGCCUUCCUCAACUGUUGCUGCUCCCUUCUUCCCCCAAACUCUGCUGCUGCAUCUUCCUUCUUCUCCUUGUCCCUACUACUGCUGAACCACUCCUCCUCUUAUUGUGUCUCUGCUGGUCGCUGCUCCCCUACUGCCGAUCCUUUCCUCAACUCUCUCUACUUCUCCUCUCAUGCCACUCCUGCUGCUUCUCCUCAACGCCCCUGCUGCCUCUGAUUCUUCUCUUAACUAGAACCCUUGCUGUUCUCUCUCUCUCUCUCCCUAAAUUUUCUGUAUAGUUGAGAUUGUGUAAGACAUGCAAGAUUCAGAUUUGAGUGUGUCUCAUGUAAUAGUUCAUAUUAUAGCUUGUGAAUUUUGUGUUGAAUGUGCUCUCUAUUAGGCAAGCAAUAUGUUUGAUUUCCAAUUCCUGUGAUAGCUCCUUAAUUGUCAUAAAUAUAUGUUCUCUUGUGAAAGAUUUCUGUUCUUGUCCCGUUAUCUUUGUUCUGUCUUUUUCUUAUAUAUAAUUGCUAGUUAUCUUUGUGAUCGUAUCUUGUUACUUCUUUUCUGUCGAUGAUGAUGACCUGUGUUAGUAUUUUAGAUUGUCUCAAGUAAAGCAAAAUUACCAAAAAGAUAAUGAGUAAAAAUCUGAUUCACCCUUUGCUUAUUUUGCAUUUUCUUUGGCGGUGAUCUUAGGGAACUACCUUGUUUAAUUUAGGUUUAUAUUUCCUUGCAAUCAUCUUCUAAAUUGUGUUACCUAGCUUUAGCCAAAUAUAGUUUCCGUCGCCUAGUCCCUGUGGAGAACACGACAUCCGUAGUUUGGGCAAAAUAUUCCACUACAUUUACAAUCGAUCAUUUUGGCGCCGUUGCCGGGGACUAGCGUCAUGCGAUUGUGUUAGGCUAUAGACUAGGUUUUUCUUCUUUCUCUAGUUUGUGCCAUAUAUUUGUGAUAUAUCUCUAACCACUAACCCAUGUUCUAGCUAGUAUCUUUUUGUUUUCUUUUCCUUUUGCAGGUUAGAGCUAUCUACUCGGUUAUGUCAUAUUAUUCAGAUUGUCUCGGAGAUGCGAGGAACACUACAAACAUCACACAAAGUAUUUAAGAACUGAUAAUUAUCCAUUGCAGGGAAUUAGGUACAAUGAGGAGAGCAACAACUAUGCACCACAACAAUUUUAUUCAGCUCCUAUUCAUGUACCUCAACACCGGAAGAUGUGUCCAAUGGAGUUAAAUGGUCCUCCAUUUGGUCAACCAACACCUUCAACACAAGUGCCCAAACAAGAUGAGUUCGAUGACAUAGACAAGCUCGCACUUUUGAGUCUCGAGUUCACUUGGAGUGCCGAGGAUGAUCCUAUUAGGAAGGUUAUACUAGAGUAAAUGAAGAAGAUCAAGAGUGGGAAUGAGCUAGUGGAAGAACUGAAGAAGAUUGAGAAUAACAUCAACGCUGGCAGUACUAUUUCUUCACAGCUUGAGCUGAGUAAUUCUCGGAUUCCCCUUGAUACAUGUGAGGUUCCAAUACCGUCACAUCUAGCUGAGCAAGAUAGCAAGUGCCUUGAGCAAGAGAUACCUCAGAUUGAAGAAGAUGAACUAGAAGACAAGGAACAAGAUGAUCAAGAGCUGCAAUUCCCAAGUGAUCAAGUUGAAGACUCAUCAUCUACUACUCCUGAAGAAGUACAAGAAGCUGCUGUAGAUGAAGAUGAAGAACCUGAGAUUCAUUGGCCUAUUGUCAUACAUGAGCGUGAUGUGUCAGGUUUACCCAAUCCUCUUGAUGACAUGCGUCCGUAUAAUUUCUUUGCUACUACCUUACAUUACAUGAUACCAUCACUUAGGAUUGAUUUGAAAACUCAUUUGCUUGGAUAUGAUGAUAUAUACACUGUUAGUGGCAUUACUCUCAUUUGUGAUGAUCAUAGUUAUUUUCCUCGUGCUAGUCCUAUGCUUAAUGAAACAUAUAAUUCCCAUGCUAGUCUUGAGCUUAAUGAUAAAUAUCAUCCUCAUGUUAGUGUUGAACUUGCCGAUUUCUACCAUCCUAAACAUGUGCUUUAUAGCUAUGCUUAUGUAAUUGAAUAUUCGAUUGAUGACUUGGAGGGUAUUAUCCCUCCACUUGCAUUGUCUCUUUAAUUGAGUGCUCUUUCAGGUUCUUGCUUGUGCAUGAAUCACUACAUGCUAACCAGGUUCGAGGUGACAUUCCUUGGGACCUUGGUGGAUCCUGAGCACAGAGAUGAGGAUAAGCAAUGGGCACACACGUGAGGAAGGGAGAAGCUAGAGCAGGCAUGAGGAUAGAUAAGCAAAAGGAGAGGAGCUGCAGUUGGUGAGGUGAUCGAGCGAGUGCUACAUCAUCAAUGCCCAGUGAGCUGUUUCAUGACCCAUUUUGAAAUCACCAUCCAUUGAUGCUUGUUGAAUUAAAUUGCUAUGUGGGUUGCUUGUGCCAUUUCUUAAAUGUCGUCCCACUGAAUUUCACCUUUGACAUAUGGUGCUUGAUGAGAAUAUGCGAACUGAUUGUUGAAUGCCUAGUAAACUAGUGAUCUACACCCUGUUUGCUUUGCUGAAAGUAGUGAAAGCUGUUAGUUUUGAGUUCUCAAAUCCCUAGUGCACUAGUAAACUUAAUCAUUUUCUGCUUUUACCUUGAUACACUUAGAUCAUUAAGUGUUAGAUGCUGAGUUUGUGCCUAUUGUGUUCCCAUUGAGAGCAAUCACUUUACCACUAUGGACUAGUAUGCUAUGUUCCCUGGAUCGGUAGCAUGUGAACCAGACAUGGAGAAGUGAUGAUUCCUGUUUUUGUGCUUAUGUGUUGUUCAUUUAAGAUAAGUAAUAAUGAAUAAAUCAGUCUGACUACCUACAAUAGCAUGUCAUGUUCCCUGGAUCGGUGGCAUGUGAAAUCGGUUUAGCUUGGGCAGUAAUUAAUAAUGAAAAUUGCAAUUGUCAAACCAGGUGUAUACCAUGUUCUCUGGAUUGGUGGUAUGUUCCUUUGGGGAGACAAACAAAAAAACUAAUAAUUGGUCGAGCCGGGUGUAUACCAUGUUCUCGGGAUCGGUGGUAUGUUCCUUUGGUGAGAUCGAUAAAAUAUUAUCAUUGCUUUAUUUCUGUAAAUAAGUGAUCUGAUCACCAGUGUAUGUUCUUUUUGUUCUCGGGAUCAUGCUCUCUUUAGGAACCUUUGGCACAAUCAUCAUUUGAACUAGUUGAUCUUCUUUUAUCAUUGUAGAAGUUUAAAAUGGUCAAGUCUACUAGUAUCCUACCACUUUGAAGCACUCCUAACCAUUAAUUUUCACUAGCUAAGUCCAAAGCAUGGACUGUUUAGAGAUCUACUUCACUUGGCAUUCUCUAGUCAGCUCAUUGUUCACAUUCUUGCUCUUGUCAUAUGCCUUUGCUUGAGGACAAGAAAACGUUUAAGUGUGGGGGAACUUGAUCAACACAUUUUAUAUACAUCUCUUGGACCUCAAAUGUACGGUUCACUGAGAUAUAUUCAUUCAUUUCGUGCUAUGAAUUAUUCCAUAUUUGAAUGAAAAUCAUAUAAAAGGAUCAUUUACUUGUGACUUGUUUCUUUUGCAGAAAAGUGCGCAAAGGCACUAUAAUCGUCAAGAUUUCUACUAUGUGGCUAACGAGAAGAGAGAAGGGCAGGAAAGAAAUACGUCAAGGACCUGAGUGUGAAGGAAAGAAGUAAUCUAGGGGAGCAAACUAAAAAAGAGGAGGAUCUUCUUGGGCAGAAAUGAAGAGAAGAGGAGGGCCAAUGUGCAAAUGUGGCAACUCAGAGUGGGGAACAAAAUCCCUAGCCGCAACACUUGAUCCCUUUGGGGCCUAGCACUUCUCUCUCUCCCUCACCACUUCUUCUUCCACCACCGGCCGCCGCCGCGGCCAAGCCAGUGUGGCGGCGCGCCACCCAGUACCUCCACCAGCUCCACUACGCCGCAGCACCUCCACCCGCGCUACCGCAACCCAUCCAUCCACCGACACCAUCACAUCCAGCCACCAUCACCUCGCGCUCCCUACCAGACUAGAGGUCGUGGUUGUAUGGUGCCCUGCGCGAGUCUUACCUCCCUCUCUCUUGUUGCUGCUCCUCCCUCUUGCUUCGUCCUGCUGCUUCUCUUCUUCCCCUUGCCUUCCUCAACUGCUGCUGCUCCCUUCUUCCCCCAAACUCUUCUGCUGCAUCUUCCUUCUUCUCCUUGUCCCUACUACUACUGCUGAACCGCUCCUCCUCUUGUUGUGACUCUGCUGCUCGCUGCUCCCCUACUGCUGAUCCUUUCCUCAACUCUCUCUGCUCCUUCUCUCAUGCCACUGCUGUUGCUCCUCCUCAACGCCCCCUGCUGCCUCUCAUUCUUCUCUUAACUAGAACCCUUGCUAUUCUCCCUCUCUCUCUCCCUGAAUUUUCUAUAUAAUUGAGAUUGUGUAAGACGUGCAAGGUUCAGAUUUGAGUGUGUGUCAUGUAAUAGUUCAGAUUAUAGCUUGUGAAUUUUGUGUUGAAUGUGCUCUCUGUUAGGUAAGCAAUAUGAAUGUAUUUGAUUUCC